rnacentral:lncRNA from 1 species
UUUUACUGAAAAUGAGUUUAGGUUGUGGGAUUGUAAUUGGGUCUUAGGUUUUUUUUUUUUAAAUUCGGGCUUGUAAUUUGGGCUGAUAUGUUUUGUAAUUGGACUAUUUUUGGUUUUGUUUAUUUAUUUUUUUGGUUUCUUAUUUAGGCCCUGGCUAAAUUGGCCUAUUACACUCAAUAUUUUGAGUUUGAUAAAAUUUAAGUAUUAAGAUAGUUUGAGUCUAUAACAAUUCAAGUUAGAUUUGAGUCUAAGAUAUAUUCGAUGUAAAAUCACCUUCGAAUUUGUAUUCUGUUUUUUUUAUUGUCUUUUUUCAAAAGGAAAAAAAGAUCCCUUUCUAUUUACAAAAAUCAGUUUUUGUAACCGAGGAAAUAUUACAAUAUAUGUUUUUC